rnacentral:rRNA from 1 species
GACAGAGGAUGCAAGCGUUAUCCGGAAUGAUUGGGCGUAAAGCGUCUGUAGGUGGCUUUUUAAGUCCGCCGUCAAAUCCCAGGGCUCAACCCUGGACAGGCGGUGGAAACUACCAAGCUGGAGUACGGUAGGGGCAGAGGGAAUUUCCGGUGGAGCGGUGAAAUGCGUAGAUAUUGGAAAGACCACCAAUGGCGAAGGCACUCUACUGGGCCACUACUGACACUGAGAGACGAAAGCUAGGGGAGCAAAUGGG